AGCAUUGUACGGCGAAACUGCGAAUGGCUCAUUAAAUCAGUUAUCGUUUAUUUGAUAGUACCUUUCCUACAAGGAUAACCGUGGUAAUUCUAGGGCUAAAACUUGCUAAAAAUCCCGACUUCGGAAGGGAUGCAUUUAUUAGAUACAGAACCAAUGCCCUUCGGGGCUUCUUGGUGAAUCAUGAUAACUCCGCGGAUCGCAUGGCCUUGCGCCGGCGAUGGUUCAUUCAAAUUUCUGCCCUAUCAACUUUCGACGGCUGGGUAUUGGCCAGCCGUGGUGACAACGGGUAACGGAGGGUUAGGGCUCGACCCCGGAGAAGGAGCCUGAGAAACGGCUACUACAUCCAAGGAAGGCAGCAGGCGCGCAAAUUACCCAAUCCCGACUCGGGGAGGUAGUGACAAUAAAUACUGAUCCAGGGCUCUUUUGGGUCUUGGAAUUGGAAUGAGUACAAUUUAAAUCCCUUAACGAGGAACAAUUGGAGGGCAAGUCUGGUGCCAGCAGCCGCGGUAAUUCCAGCUCCAAUAGCGUAUAUUAAAGUUGUUGAGGUUAAAAAGCUCGUAGUUGAACCUUGGGCCUGGCUGGCCGGUCCGCCUCACCGCGUGCACUGGUCCGGCCGGGCCUUUCCCUCUGGGGAACCGCAUGCCCUUCACUGGGUGUGUCGGGGAACCAGGACUUUUACUCUGAACAAAUCAGAUCGCUCAAAGAAGGCUCUCGCUCGAAUGCUCUAGCAUGGAAUAAUAGAAUAGGACGUGCGGUUCUAUUUUGUUGGUUUCUAGGACCGCCGUAAUGAUUAAUAGGGACAGUCGGGGGGCAUCCGUAUUCCAUUGUCAGAGGUGAAAUUCUUGGAUCCAUGGAAGACGAACUACUGC
rnacentral:rRNA from 1 species